AUUGGCCCCAGACCAUGGGAUCUAAAAUGGACUGCACCCCUUUCCUCACACCUAGGCCCUGAAAUCCAUUUGAUUUACACUGAAACCACAGAACAGGAACACAAUGAAAAGGUGCCGCUCUGAAGCCAGAACAUUCUUCUGGCAUUGAUCACAUCCCUUUAACAGCCCGCAGAGGGGAUAGAGAGAAAGUCCUCAACCAAAAGGAGAGUCGGUGGAUUUCCACACUUAGAGCUUUGACAUCCCCAGGCUUGAAUGACUCAGUGGAUUCUGUGUCGUUUCUGUGAUGUGAUCUACUCUAUGGGGUUUUUCCAGAGCUUUAUUAGUGCCACAGGUGUGGCUGAUCCAUGUAAUGAUCUUCACCUAUGUAUAUAUAUACAUGUCCUGUUACUUGUUCUUAUCCUAUUUGCCCUGACGAAGGCCGACUGAGGCCGAAACAUGUAGGUAACUUUUUAUCUGUUCUCCAUGAACUAGCCUCUUUAAUAAAGCUUUUUA